rnacentral:rRNA from 1 species
AGCGAACGCUGGCGGCAGGCUUAACACAUGCAAGUCGAGCGGGCAUCCUUGUGGUGUCAGCGGCAGACGGGUGAGUAACGCGUGGGAACGUGCCCUUCGGUUCGGAAUAACUCAGGGAAACUUGAGCUAAUACCGGAUACGUGCGAGAGCAGAAAGGUUUAUCUGCCGAAGGAUCGGCCCGCGUCUGAUUAGCUAGUUGGUGAGGUUAUGGCUCACCAAGGCGACAAUCAGUAGCUGGUCUGAGAGGAUGAUCAGCCACACUGGGACUGAGACACGGCCCAGACUCCUACGGGAGGCAGCAGUGGGGAAUAUUGGACAAUGGGGGCAACCCUGAUCCAGCCAUGCCGCGUGAGUGAUGACGGCCUUAGGGUUGUAAAGCUCUUUUCUCCGGGACGAUAAUGACGGUACCGGAGGAAUAAGCCCCGGCUAACUUCGUG